rnacentral:rRNA from 1 species
UACGGAGGGGGCAAGCGUUACUCGGAAUUACUGGGCGUAAAGGGCUCGUAGGCGGCCAACUAAGUCAGACGUGAAAUCCCUCGGCUUAACCGGGGAACUGCAUCUGAUACUGGAUGGCUUGAGUUCGGGAGAGGGAUGCGGAAUUCCAGGUGUAGCGGUGAAAUGCGUAGAUAUCUGGAGGAACACCGGUGGCGAAGGCGGCAUCCUGGACCGACACUGACGCUGAGGAGCGAAAGCCAGGGGAGCAAACGGG